rnacentral:rRNA from 1 species
GGAAGAGAUAAGUGCUGAAGACAUCUAAGCACGAAACUUGCCCCGAGAUGAGUUCUCCCUGAGACUUAGAGUCUCCUGAAGGAACGUUGAAGACGACGACGUUGAUAGGCCGGGUGUGUAAGCGCAGCGAUGCGUUGAGCUAACCGGUACUAAUGAACCGUGAGGCUUAACCUUACAACGCCGAAG